rnacentral:misc_RNA from 1 species
UGUUCUGUGAGGCCUACCCGACACCCGGCACGCUUGCGGAGGGUCAGGUAAUAUCGACAGGUGUUCAGGUGGAGCGCCUGGGUCGGCUAGUUGGACGGUCAGGCGAGUGUGGUAAAAACAUCACAUGUGGUCCUUCACACUGAUUGUCAAGUGUACAAGCAUGCUUGAGGGCAAGGGAAGGUAGGAAGAAGGCAGUCACUGUGGAGAUGCAGACACAGGAAAAGUUGAUUCGACGUCAGGUGAAGGAAGGAAGAGUGAUGGCGCGGAGACAGGGCCGAGGAAACGUCGAGACGAGCCAGCCCUCGGCGUUGGGGAGGUCGUGAUGGAGGGUAACGACGGCGGCGGCGGCGGCGAUGGUCAAGAUAUAGGUGAGGCGGCGGAAGAGGAGGACGAUGAGGCGGGUUGGCCAGGGGAGGAGAGCGAGGAUGUGACACGUGCGCUGUUCCCGGAGAUGGAGCAGGAUCGCAUGGAGCUGCUGGAACUGGAGAUGCGGGCACGCGCCAUCAAGGCCAUGUUGGCUCUGCACGAGCGGCGCGAGAACAGGCCGUGAGAGACAGACACAGAGGCAGAAAGAUGUAGACAGUGAGACUGUCACAUGCAGAGGUAGAGACAACAACGAGACAAACGCAAACAGAAACUGGUUCUUUGUUAAACGGACGCCGACAAAAACCUAGUGAGAUGGACACAGAGAGAUGUAAUAAGACAGACACAGAGGCAGAAAGUCUAAGACAGUGAGCCCAAGGCUGGGACAGAGAGGUUGAAAGACAUACUAAGAACGCAAAAAAAAAAAAAAAAAAAGAGAGAGAAAGAGAGGACAGGGGAGGGUGAGCGGAGGAGAAAAAUGACAAGCAGACAGGCGGUGCAGACUGAGAGGCAGACGAUCGUAAAGAACAAUGGACGUCCACAACCUCACGAGACCUCUGUGUUUCGCUGGUAUCUGAACAACAGUCGUAACUGUCUUAAGGACACUUAAAUGUUUUCGUUCUUGUUUUCUUUUGGAAGUCUGGGUACGGCAUGUGGUGACUGGCGUUGCGCUGUGCUUCAAACCUUCUCAACAAGGGGCCACGGUUGUGCACGUGUGUAUGUGUGUGCGCAAGUGUGUGUGUGAAUCAUUGUUUACCCUGCACCUAUUUUAGUGAGUAUUUAAUUAUGAGCAGUGAGUUCACAAAAUAAAGAUUCAAGCGAAAGAC